rnacentral:tRNA from 1 species
GCGCUUGUAGCUCAGUGGAUAGAGCGUCUGUUUCCUAAGCAGAAGGCAUUAGGUUCGACCCCUACCUGGCGCG